UACGAAGGGGGCUAGCGUUGCUCGGAAUCACUGGGCGUAAAGGGUGCGUAGGCGGGUUUUUAAGUCAGGGGUGAAAUCCUGGAGCUCAACUCCAGAACUGCCUUUGAUACUGAUGAGCUUGAGUUCGGGAGAGGUGAGUGGAACUGCGAGUGUAGAGGUGAAAUUCGUAGAUAUUCGCAAGAACACCAGUGGCGAAGGCGGCUCACUGGCCCGAUACUGACGCUGAGGUGCGAAAGCCAGGGGAGCAAACGGG
rnacentral:rRNA from 1 species